rnacentral:lncRNA from 1 species
UGUAUACAGACUUGUAAUUUUUUUGGGAUUAAAAUUACUAUUGGGAGGUGAAAUCAAUGUUUUUAUAAGUAUGCACACCAAGUGUUUGUGCUUUUGCCUCUAUGAAAUCAAUAAUUCCUCUGCCUUUACCAAGUCUACGUGCAAUAUGCAUACCUUCUUAUUUGCCCAUUUAGUCCACUCCUGCAAAUGGUUCUGAAGUUUAUGUACCCUUGGAACCAGUUAUAUAAUUUUUUUCAUCUUUUUAGCAUGUGAAAUCCAUUUGUCAUAUGGGUUGGUUGAAAAACUAGGAUUGGAAGAAACAGUAACAUCAUUUUGUUUUGGUGGGGUUGAAAGAGAUAAAUCAUGUACAGAUUUCAUCAUGUAAGCUUUUGGUAGUAGCAAUCUUCCUACAUUACCAAAAACUAAUAAUACCCAUAAUAACCUUCUUACGUUGUUUGCAGCAUCUCAAAUUGAGUCAUGCCUUUCAAACCCACCAAUGUAAAUUCACAAAAUGAUGUUGGCAGAUUUGUUACUUUCAUGUAUUUAUAAUUUGAUUAACAUGUUGGUUGAUUUCUUUAUUUAACCAAAUAACAAAUAUAAUGUGAAAAACUUUAUGUUGUACACGAGAUGAGGAAAAGAAAAAAAAAGCUAUAUGUAGCCUUUCAUACACCAUCACGUGGGAAGAAAAAAAAGAAUUAAAUACUAAUUUUAUGAUAAAAAUACAUUAAAAUCUAUUGAAGUAGAAUGUGUAUGGAAUUAUUCACAACCAUACAAUGCUACAGGUUGUUUGAUGAAUUUUGUCUUUUUACUUAUUGCAUCAUAUGCAACAUAUGCCUUCUAAAUAGGUUAAAUACAAAUCUACUCCCUUGAAUUUAUAUUUACCCAUGAAGUCUUCUAUUGAAUUAUUUUUCUAGUCGUUUGAUCAUGUGUUGUACUAAUGGACACCAUCUUUUUUGUAUAAUGUGAAAAUUAAUUAACGAUUAAAGUAAUAAUAUUAUGUCUUUUAAGUGAAUAAUUUUCUUUUUUAUGGGAGAUGAGUAGGAAAUGGCACGACUUAGUCUACCUAUAAGCAAACAUAAAAAAGUAUAAGUCAAAUAGUCGUUACAUUUUGGAAUGAAGUUAUGACAAUUGUUACAUGGUUUUUUUUAUCACGGUAUGCAAGUUACUACAAAUAUAUAGGAGUGGUAAAUCACGUAUCAAAAACAUAUCGACGAAUGUGGAUCGGCAAGCAAUAUUGCACAAAUACGCUUACAAAAGCGACACUACAUGCAUAUCACACCUUAGGAUGACCCGCAGAUGUUUAACAAAGUUGUGUGAAAUGCUUCACACAUUAGGUGGGUUAAGAACAACUAGACAUACGGAUAUUGAUGAGCAAGUGGCCAUAUUUCUUCACAUUAUUGCACAUAAUGUGAAGAAUCAGGUCAUGAUAGGUCGUUUCCAGCGUUCGGGAGAAACAAUUAGCAAAAUUGUCACCAGAGUUUGCAAUGCGGUGAAAAGGUUGCAUCCACAUUUGCUUAAGAAACCCGAACCUGUUACAGAAAACUCUACAGAUCAAAGAUGGAAGUGGUUCAAGGUAUAAGUACUCCUUAUAAAAAUUUCAAUUAGUACACGAGUUGCUUGAUAUGACAUAAAACCAUUUUUUGUAUUUCCUUUAGAACUGUCUAGGAGCUUUAGAUGGAACACACAUAAAGUGCUUAGUGCCACUUAAAGACAAGCCUAAAUACAGGACAAGAAAAAAUGAUAUUGCCACAAAUGUCUUAGGGGUGUGUUCACAAGAUAUGCAAUUUAUCUAUGUUUUACCGGGAUGGGAGGGCUCAGCUGCGGAUGGUAGAGUGCUUCGAGAUGCCCUACUUAGGCCACGUGGAUUGAAGGUUCCGAGACCACGUAUGUAUAAAAACUGGUUUUGUAGAUAACUAUUAGUUAUUAGUUAUUAGUUACACUAACUAUACUACAUAUAUAGGUUAUUAUUUGGUAGAUGUUGGUUAUACAAAUGGUGAAGGUUUCUUAGCCCCGUAUAGAUGUCAAAGAUAUCAUUUGAAUGAUUGGCGUGCUGGACACCAACCAACUACACCUAAAGAAUUAUUUAACAUGAGACAUUCAUCUGCGAGAAAUGUUAUAGAAAGAUAUUUUUGUAUUUUGAAGGCAAGAUGGGAAAUUUUAAGGGACAACUCAUAUUAUCCAAUUGAUCUAAAAAAUAAGAUUAUAAUGGCAUGUUGUCUUCUUCAUAAUUAUAUAAGGAAGGAAAUGACAAUUGAUCCAAUUGAGAACCGAUUUGAAGUAGACGAGGGAACCGGAGAUGUCGGCGGUGGAGACGAUGAUCAUAUCACUUAUGUGGGUGUAUCAACCGAGUGGACUACAUUUAGAAACAACUUAGCGCAAACUAUGUUUGAUUCUUGGAAUACUACACAUUGAUCCUUCCUCCUUUUGUUAUGUUUAUCAUUUACUAUGAACGAAUUUGUGCCACAUUUGUUAUUUUUAAUAAUGAAAUUUAAUUUGUUCUGUCUAGUUAUAUUUGUUAUAUAUAUCACUUAUGUGGGUGUAUCAACCCAGGGGAAUUAUUGAAUUCAUAGAGGCAAAAGCACACUAGUGGUUUUGGCUAUGAUAGCUCCACUCAUUCUGUAAUAGCUGAACCAGCGGUUUGGGAUUCUUACAUACAGGUAUAUUAUUAAAUUUUUUUAUAUAUUUGUUACUUCUUAAUUAUUUUAUAUUAUAAUUUAAUGUGCUAACCUUUUAUGAUACAAAAUAGGUUCAUAAAGAGGCAGGAAAAUGGAGAAAUAAGAUAUUUCCUCAUUACGAGGAUUUAUGUAUCAUCUUUGGGAAGGAUAGAGCUCAAGGGAAUAAAGCCAAGGAUUUUGCCCAAAUGGAAGAAGAUGCAAACAAUGAAGAACAAUCUGAACAAAUAGAAGGUGGUUUUGAAGAACAAACCACAGAAAAUGAAGAUUCUCCAAACAUAGGCUCAAAGAAGAGAAAAAAAGUUGAUGAUGUUAUUAAGGGAAUAACUAUUGCAGCUAACCUUCUUCGAGAAAAGCUUGAAAAAGCAGCGAAUAGCAUGAAUCAAGCAAUACUAGGAGAAACAGAAGUACAAAAAAAGCUUCGAUGGUGAUUCCUGAAAUUUCAAAGAUGCAAUCAUUGAGUGCCUUGGAUAGGUUCAAAGCAAGUAGGAAAAUAAUGUGUGAUCCGGAAACCGUGUUAAGUUUUUGGAAUUUGGAAGGAUAAGAUCGGGAGGAUUUUGUGAGGUUCAUGUUGGAAGAGUGAUAUGAUUAUGAACUAGGUAUCCAGACAUUAUUUUCAAUAUUGCUUGGUUAAUUUUUUUUUUCUUUUUUUAAUUUUAGAUUGGAAAUAAUGAAUGACAUUUGUUGCUUUAUAUUAUAUAUAAUCGGUUUAUUUGUUUUUAAAAAAUAUUUUUAUGAUUUUUAUGUGUUCGAUGAAAUACAAGUUAGUUAUUUUUUAAUUUAUAUUUUAUAGAAGAGUUCAAUAAAAAAAUGUUGUAAUUAUAUAAAAUUUUGCUAUGUUUAUUAUAAAUAUGAAUAAGGUACAAAAAAAAAUCACUACAAAGUGUAUUUUUGUCAAAUUACUAAAAUCAUUUUCCAAUUCCUUUGGCAAUCAACAAACAAAACAGAAAACAGAUUUCAUUCCAUGUCAACCAAACGCAUUAAUGUUUCUGGUACAAUCAAAUUCCAAUUCCUCAAGAUUCCAAUUCCUUUGACAGAUUUCAUUCCUUUCAAAAACAUUCUGCAAAACAAACGCAACCUUAAGGUUUUUACCUUUUGAAGUGGAUUUAAUAAUGCAAAAGGGUUUUUCCCCAUUAUUUGUUGUUUUACUGCUAGGCAACUAAGAAUCUCCACCUCGUUGGGUGUCACUGUUGUUUCUAUUAGCAAGUUGUGGGAUAUUUGCCCGUCGGUACACGGGCUUGAGUACGUCAUCCUUAGACUGUACUACUUUUGGGUUAGUUGUUUCCUUUUUUAUGAUAAAAACAACCAUUUAUUGAUCUUUUGGUUUUUCCUAAAGAUUUUUGAUGUCCGGUUUAUCCCAAAUAAUUGGAUUUUUAUCCUUUAAUGUGGAAAUUAAGGGAUCUAAUUCUAUUUGUUUUGGAUUUAGGUUUCUUGGAUAUUAUUUGAAUAUCUUUAAAAUAAAAGGAAUUGAUGGCAAACGGCUUAGCAAUUUUCCUUCAAAAUUUGCUUUGCAUGUCGGUUUGAUCCCGGUUUUCUUAAGGUUCUUUCCUUUUGAAGUGGUUCUUAUCUUAUUGCAAAUGGGUUUUAACCCCAUUAUUUGUUGUUUUCUUCCAAGGCAACUAGGAAUCUCCAUGUUUGUGGGUGCCAUUGCUAUUUCCGUUAGCAAGUGGUGGGAUAUUCCUAACUCUGGCAUAUUGGGUAAACCCCACAAUAUCUAAACCCUAAACCCUAAACCCUAAUCCCUAAACCCUAAACCCUAAACCCUAUGGUUUCUUUGGAUAAAGUAUCAAGAAUUCUCUAUACAUGUAUACAGACUUGUAAUUUUUUUGGGAUUAAAAUUACUAUUGGGAGGUGAAAUCAAUGUUUUUAUAAGUAUGCAAACCAAGUGUUUCUGCUUUUGCCUCUAUGAAAUCAUAAAUUACUCUACCUUUACCAAGUCUACGUGCAAUAUGCAUACCUUCUUCUUUGCCCAUUUAGUCCACUCCUGCAAAUGGUUCUGAAGCUUAUGUACCCUUGGAACCAGUUAUAUAAUUUUUUCAUCUUUUUAGCAUGUGAAAUCCAUUUGUCAUAUGGGUUGGUUGAAAAACUAGGAUUGGAAGAAACAGUAACAUCAUUUUGUUUUGGUGCGGUUGAAAGAGAUAAAUCAUGUACAGAUUUCAUCAUGUAAGCUUUUGGUAGUAGCAAUCUUCCUACAUUACCAAAAACUAAUAAUAUCCAUAAUAACCUUCUUACGUUGUUUGCAGCAUCUCAAAUUGAGUCAUGCCUUUCAAACCCACCAAUGUAAAUUCACAAAAUGAUGUUGGCAGAUUUGUUACUUUCAUGUAUUUAUAAUUUGAUUAACAUGUUGGUUGAUUUCUUUAUUUAACCAAAUAACAAAUAUAAUGUGAAAAACUUUAUGUUGUACACGAGAUGAGGAAAAGAAAAAAAAAGCUAUAUGUAGCCUUUCAUACACCAUCACGUGGGAAGAAAAAAAAGAAUAAAAUACUACUUUUAUGAUAAAAAUACAUUAAAAUCUAUUGAAGUAGAAUGUGUAUGGAAUUUUUCACAACCAUACAAUGCUACAGGUUGUUUGAUUGAAUUUUGUCUUUUUUACUUAUUGCAUCAUAUGCAUCAUAUGCCUUCUAAAUAUGUUAAAUACAAAUUUACUCCCUUGAAUUUAUAUUUACCCAUGAAGUCUUCUAUUGAAUUAUUUUUCUAGUCGUUUGAUCAUGUGUUGUACUAAUGGACACCCUCUUUUUUGUAUAAUGUGACAAUUAAUUAACGAUAAAAGUAAUAAUAUUAUGUCUUUUAAGUGAAUAAUUUUCUUUUUUAUGGGAGACGAGCAGGAAAUGGCACGACUUAGUCUAACUAUAAGCAAACAUAAAAAAGUAUAAGUCAAAUAGUCGUUACAUUUUGGAAUGAAGUUAUGACAAUUGUUACAUGGUUUUUUUAUCACAGUAUGCAAGUUAUUACAAAUAUAUAGGAGUGGUAAAUCACGUAUCAAAAACAUAUCGACGAAUGUGGAUCGGCAAGCAAUAUUGCACAAAUACGCUUACAAAAGCGACACUACAUGCAUAUCACACCUUAGGAUGACCCGCAGAUGUUUAACAAAGUUGUGUGAAAUGCUUCACACAUUAGGUGGGUUAAGAA